rnacentral:misc_RNA from 1 species
GAUGCAGAACGUAGCGAAAUGCGAUAAGUAAUGUGAAUUGCAGAAUUCAGUGAAUCAUCGAAUCUUUGAACGCACAUUGCGCCCGCCAGUAUUCUGGCGGGCAUGCCUGUCUGAGCGUCAUUUCAACCCUCAUGCCCCUAGGGCGUGGUGUUGGGGAUCGGCCAAAGCCCGCGAGGGACGGCCGGCCCCUAAAUCUAGUGGCGGACCCGUCGUGGCCUCCUCUGCGAAGUAGUGAUAUUCCGCAUCGGAGAGCGAUGAGCCCCUGCCGUUAAACCCCCAACUUUCCAAGGUUGACCUCAGAUCAGGUAGGAAUACCCGCUGAACUUAAGCAUAUCAAUAAGCGGAGGA